UCAUAUCUUUCUCAAAUAUAGCAAAAUAUUUCAUUUGUCAUGUUUAUCAUCAUGCUCAAAUAAUUCAUUUCCUAUUCUGCCCUAAAUGGCACAUUGUGAAGCAAGUGCUAUUUUACUUUUCCCAAUUAACCUCAAACUCCUUGGACACCUUUUCCUGUCCAUAUCAUUGCCACAUGCCAAAGUGCAACCUCAUUUGCCUAGUAAAUAUUCCUGAGCACUUAUUCAAAGUUCCUGUCUGAGGGAACUGGUUGUGAAGGAAGUACAAGCUAGGCAUAUCCAAAUGAGUUUCCAUUUUUCAUGAUCCCUCGUAUCAUCAUAUCAUAGCUCUCCACCAAAGUAGAGCUCAUGUCAUGCCUCCAUGUGAGCUCAGCUUCAAUUCUUAGUUUCUGGUGAAAAUUUCAGUUUGUGAAGCAAGUAUAUUUUAUCUUGCUCCAUUAUGGCUGCCAAUUGUUCUAGGCCUUCUAGUGUCCAUAUAACUUCCCAUCACCAAGUUGUGGCUCAAUCCCUUUGACCAUUUGCCCUGUGGAAUUUUUCCAAGUUUCUGGUCAGAAUAAAUCUUUCUAAAGCAAGUGCUAUUUUGGUUCAUCCAAAUGGCAUGAAACUCCUUGGGCAUCUGUAUAUCUUCAAAUCAUUGGGCCAUAACCAUUUGCAGCUCAAUUGAUGCAACUAUGUGAGUGCAUCAUCCAAAUUCCCAUUUAUGGCCAUUAUGGCACUUUCUACAGCAACCACCCUUUAAACUCCUCUUAAGCUAAUUUCCUAUGAUCGUAGUCACCUUAGUGUAGGAUCAUUACCAGACAAAGAUUUUACUGAGUUACCUAGCUGGUGUCCCCACUGCACAGCACAAACACUUGGCUGCUAGUUUGCUUUGGGGCCAUCUGCAAAUCUCUUCUUUGCCCCUAGAUUGAUUUAUUUCUUCAUUUAGACUAAGGUCACUAGGGUCAUUCCACGGGACAUGGUCGGCCCGGCCAGAACGCACUGUGUGCACCAGUGCGCGCGGUGACCACCUCUCUGGCGUGCAAUGGCUGCGUCCAGAAUGGCUUCUUGCUUGGGCCCCUCCUCUGCUCGGUGUCUCAGCGAGCACGGGCAUGUCCACUGUCUUCCUCUCAUCGUCGCCGUUCCCCUGGACCCCUCUCCCCCUCCGUCCGCUUCCCCACCGACGCAAGCCGCCGCGCGCCCACGAGAGCAUAGUGGAGCUUUGGAUCUUCCCGUCGCCGUCGUCUUCCUCCCUGCGCCCCUUGGCCUCCUCUGCCCCGGGAGAACCUCUAUUGUGCCUCCCUCGUCACCUGCCCCCGAGCUCGAGCGCGCGGGCACGCGUCCGCGGCACCGGACACGCGUCCGCGGCGGUGACAGCUCGGACUCCCUCGCCCCGCCUAUAAAUGGCCCUCCCCCGAGCGUUUCGAGCUCACCAGCAGCCUUCCCACAUUCCUCUACCCCUCCCCGACCUCUCAUUCGAGCUCCAAGAGCUCCUGAGCCUGCCCUUGCCGCAUGACCGCCGCCUCUGCCCCUCUUCAAUUCGGGCAAGCCGAGACCUUCCCCUCCGUUCUGUCCCCACCAAUAGCCUCCCCGGAGUCCAGCAACUCUCCCCAACUCCUUUCUCCUCGCCAGAGUGCCCCGCAGCCCCGUAGCCAAAUCCCACCCGAAGCCCCCUCCGCCGGAGUGCUUGCGGCUCUCAACCCCGCCCUCCUCGAGGUCCGUUCUGUCCUGCAGCGGGUCGGCCUCGUCGCCCUGAGCACGUGGGUAGGUCGAGCGCCGCCUACGGUGGCCGGAGUCACCGGUGAUCAUCAUCGGGGCGGCCGGUCUCACCUCUGCCUCAGCGCGCGUCGGGGGAAGAAGAGGAGAAGAGGGAGGAGAGAGAAGGUCAACGCGGGUCCCACCCGUCAGCCACACGAGGCGCCUGCUGACGUGGAUAAGUAGACACGCAGUUCUGGUGAGUACGUCUUCAUGCGUUGAAAGCGUAUUCUCCGGGUGCUUCGGCUGAAAGUAUGCCUUCUGUUUUUCUGCCUAAGUCCAGUCUAAAAAUCUUUUCAUUACAGAUGGGUCCCUGGCAGAAAACACCUCAUAACUUUUUAUCCGUAACUCCAAAUGAGGUGAAUCCAAAGCCUACUUCCUCGUUUCGUCGAGCUCGUUCUGUUGGUUACAUUUUCACUAUGAUUUGACACAGUGAAAAUGACCAUUUUGCCCUUGCCGUUAACCAGCCCCUUUCGAGAGAGAAGUGUUUCUAGCGAAUCUUUCUGCGAUCUUUCCGCACAUCUUCCCGGUGUUUUCUUCAUCCCCAGGCAAGCCACAAUACCCACUUGCAUGAUGGUCAUGCAGUAGCCAUGGUUUUCAACUUGAAUAUUUAUUAAAUGGUUUCUAGUUUAAAAUAUGGUUAUCGUUCUUUCGGUAAUGCUUCUGGGUUAGUGCUUACCUUCUUGCUAUGUUGUUAUGCACCUGGUUAUCAUGCCCUGCUAGUUGCCAGUAUUCCUUUCAUAUGUUUAUGCUUGCUAGUAGUACAUGUUGAUGUUGGUAAUGGUCUUUGGUGCAUGACGACCAUCCGUCCCGAGUACCGUUGUUAUACAUGUUCCAUUGCAUCCAGUUGGUUAAAUGCUUGCAUGCUUGCAUUGUUGUUAUGUUCAUGCAUGAUGUUUAUGGUUGAUGCUAGUGGUCAUGUUAUGAUAUGAGUAGUGUUGCACUUGUAAUAUUUAUGCUCGUCAUUAUGCCAUGUUCAGUUGGAGAUUAUUCAUGGUUGAUAUGGUGGAUAGUUAUGUUGCAUCCCGUGCUUAUGUUGAUAUCAUUCUCAUGCUUUGUAUAUGCAUCAUGUUAUUUUAUCAUGGCUCAGCAUAUUGCAUUCAAGUUUAACCGGAUUAAACUGAACUUGAACAACUGUUGGCUGAGUCAUGGUGCCACCAUAUCAAAACUGACUAGUGCAACCACGCGUACCUUAGGGGGAGGUCCUAACUGGGUCUAUUGUCGUGCAUCUCGCCGGUGCGUCCCACGAGGGAAGGUUAUGGGCGUGCUUACCCUGAUCAGGUAGGCAGACAUAACCUUGUGUGCUCGUUGUUUUUAGUUUUAUGGAUCUGGUCCCCGAGUGGGAGUCUUUUGACCACGACGGUGGUCGGGGUGUCUUUGGUAGACACGGGGCCACCCAGGACUAGCCCGUUGGGGAUUUGGUCGAAGUGACCGGGAAAAUGUCACGGCAGUAGAUCGGUUUUGUCGGAACGCCGUUGGUCCACCCGAAUGGGAGUGCGAGGCCAUGGGUUCCGUGGUGUGGGUACAGUGUGCUAACCUCUGCAGAGUGUAUAUUAAAUCUAUCGAUAGCCGCGCCCGCGGAUAAGGGCCCAGUUCGUGUCGGUCCCACCAUGAGUCAACAGUAUUAAUAAUGACUUGAUUAAUAACAACCCCGGUUUGAUGAUGCGAUAAGUUGGUUGUGAUCGCCGUAAGGAUCACGGGCCAAAUAUUGGUCGUGGUUGUGAUCGUCGUAAGGAUCACGGUUUUAGACCAAGUGUUGGUCAUGGUUGUGAUCGCCGGAAGGAUCACGGUGGUAUCGAGGAUACUGAGUUAUUGUAUAUUCGCGAUGUUGUGCGAGAAUCAUGGGUAAAGAUCAAGCUCCUUGUGGUCAUUUAAUGAUUACUAUGGUAUUGUUUAUACCAAGCUUGAUUUGAUCCUGAGAUAAUCGUGUGAUGUCCGAGGUUGGUAAGUGAGGCAUGUGAUGGUUACGUAGUAACCCGAGCAAAAUAAAUAAUGCAUAUAGUGUCAUCAUGUUGCAUGCUAGUAUCGUCAGACUCAUAAGCUCAUGCUAUGCUCAUGUUGUUCUAGCUGUAUCAUGUUCAUGUUUCCUUUGGAUUUUUAGUGGCUAUUAUGAUUAUUUUCAUGAUGGUACCUGGUAUUAUUUUGGGAGUAUUACUUUGGGUGUCAUGUUGUUCAGGUCAUGUUGUUAUGAGGAUCUCAUGUUAAUUCCUGCUUAACCUGUAAUUGCCAUGCUGUUGUUUGUCUUGAAUGCUUCUGGUUAAUUGUGAGCUUGCAAGUACAUUCAAUGUACUGACCUAGCGUGUCAUGCCAGCUUGCAGGUCGUGCCUGGAUUGCAUGCUUGUUUGCCAUGGAUUCUUUGUUUGCGAGCUAGGAUAAGCGUUCCAGCCAGAGUCCCUGCGGAUUGGAGUUCACCACCGUCAUCGUUGUUCCGCUGCUAGAGUUAUUCCGCUGCUUCGACUUGUUCUGCUGCUUGCAUAGAGCAACUGAGGAUGGCGUAGUGUCGCCGUGCCGAUGUUAUUCAUUGUAAUAUCGGAGACCUCGUAUUCAUAUUCGUGAUAUAAUAGAAAGCUGGUUUGUUCUAUGCUAAGCAGUGCCGUAUUCCAGAAGACUUCUCCUCGAUCUCUGGGCUGGAAUACGGGGCAUUCCGGUUUUCUCUAAGCCGGGGUGCCACAACGCUUGGUAUCAGAGCAGGUCUGGCUGUAGGAUGCCCUAGCCCGCGUGAACGUUAGAAAGCGGUAGUAUAGACCCCAGUUGGUUUGUUGCACUUGAUUGUUGCAUUUGUUUGUCGCAUAGCAUGCAUAUAGAUUGUUAUUUUGUCACUAACGAUUAAUCUUGUGAGUGUAGGUGGCAUCAUUUUCGGUCCACCGCCUGCACCAUCUUUCUUAGCAUGCCUGCUCCUCGGUGUGAUGCGACCACAUCAUCAUCCAUGCCCUCCAUCUCGUCCACUUGGCAACCCUUGCUGAUCUUUGUUAUUAGAAAAGGGCAAUGCCAAAAAAGCCAGCCUUCCACUGUUAUCUUGCCAUGUCAUUUCAUUCUUCGGACGGGUACGACUCCCUUCGUACGCUUGAUGAUGAGGUGAUCGUGACUUUUGUGUCUCGCUACUUGAUCAUCAAGUCCGUUCUCACCUGUGUAUCCAUCCAGAUCCAGCCACUGUUCAGCUAGUGCUUGGUGUAGCUUCGGUUACGCCAACUCCUUCCACACAUGGAUAUAAUUUUCACGCACACCGCCACAGCAUAUUAGACCAUAAUACCAGAGUUUCUGCGCGAUUUGUGUGCUUAGGUGUGCAUGCAUAUUAUGGUGUGAGUAGCAGUAAUAUGUGAUGAUUGCUUGAUUAAUUAAAUUAGUAGUAUGCUUGUGUGCUUUUGUUUUAGUCGUUUCUUUUGUUUCUUUCUUUGGGCCUUCGGUGUUACAAAUUUUUCCCUAUUAAAGUUGCUCGUCAGCCGACACCGGACCCGAAGAGUCAGCAAGAAAUGCAUAUAUUUGGAAACUCAGCUAAACAGAAUGGAAUUGUCCGCAGACUGCAAUGAAAUUGGAAAUAGCUCGUCUGAAUACAAAAGAAAUCCUGGAUGGAAUGUCAGUAUAAAGUUUGCAUUAACGUGCACUCCUCAUAGCAGAAAUGAUCAAAUCAGCAAGAAGAUAAAUUGUGUGCAAGGUUGACAAAAUAUUAUCAAAGGUAUGGCUCAGAUACAAGUGUAAUUUUUCGUUGAGGAUGAAUUUGGAACCCGAGGUACCUGGAAGCAAGCAAAAAUAUGGCAUGUCCUCAAAAAGGAGGAUAGUCCUACAAAACCCCGUUUCAUACAAGAAAUCAAUAACAAAAAUUUUAAGAUGGUUAUAUAUGUCGAAAUCGGUCCGCAUAUCACAAUAAGAAGUUUCUGGUGUGAGUAACCCAAUCUUCCCUCGCAAGAUACCUGAGAAGCUUCCAAGGCAAGAUUCAUCUAUCUUCUUCAGUACGAUACAUGGAUGAUUUCCUGUACAAGGUACUGUGCCUUCUUCAGUAAGCAAACGCAAAAGCUUCUAGCAUAAGGUACUGAGUCUUUCCCCAGCAAAGUCUUUAAGGGGGUAAGCUUCUGAAGCACGAUACCCAGUCUUCUUCAGCAAGCUGUCCGAUGAAAGUUUCGAGCACAAGCCAGCCAAUCUUCCUCAGUAAGACAUUGGUACAAGGUAGUACGCUGUGAAUUGACAGCAUAUGGCAGUGAAUCCCAAGAAUCAGAUCCGCAACAUUUUGGUCAGAAGCAAGAAUCAGUCAGAACUUGAGGGGAGUUGAAACUGCCAUUUAAAUGGGGUACCUUGUCAAAAUAUGAGGAUAGACUACGAUUGCCGAAAAAUUGUACUGACCGUACCUAUGGUGAUACAAAGAAGCAAUAUGACCCAGCUCUUUCAGCCAAGGAUCCAGACCAAGAAAACGAUAAUGAAGGAGCAAGACCAGUGAUGUGGGUACGAAAAUUGUUGCAAGACCCGCGUGGUGCAGAACCACCGUCAGUCAAGUCUGUAGAUAUUAUCCUACAGGUCAAACCCUUAUGCUAGCCACGACAGGCGACAAUCAAAUAUUUGGUGCGGAUCCGAUACUCAAGAAAGUGGAACCAGUUAAGAUGAUUCAGAAACUUCCGCGAUAAGCUAGAAGCUGUCGGGAAAGCGGUUAUGACCCAACUCACUGUUUGGAACCCGAAGGACCUGCAUUUAGUGGAGAAACCCAAUGCAAGGAGUUAGAGCUUGGGUGUCCACUAGAAAAAUCUGAUCACCACUUCAUGAAAGAUUGUCAGUGCCGGAUGACACACCCAGCGAAAAUCACUCUUGGAUUUGUGAGGCCGACAAUAUUUCAGUCGUGAGGAUCAAUCACAGUCAGUUAAGUCAGCAGAUCUAAAAAGAAAUUGGAGCCUGUAUAAGCAUGAACAAGCAAGGUGAGAUCUGUCAGAAUAUGGAUAUAUUAAAGCAAACCACCCCAGGGCCAGUCAGAUAAACAUUUAGUGGGAACAAAAAUAAGAAAAAGGAUACCCGAGUUGGAAACGGUUUCCUUAAGUCAGUAUCUUCAUACUUGUUCCCUGAGCAACCAAAUCUCGAGGACGAGAUUUCUUUAAGGGGGUAAGGUUUGUGACAGCCUGAUUUUUGGCCCUUUCUUUUUCUUUUGUUUUUCUGAGGUUUUUGCUUGAGUUUUCUUUUUUCAUGGCCUUGUGGUCUGGAAACUGAAGAAGAUGAACUCUUCUUUGCUUCCAAAGUGGCUUGUCAUUCCCAAAUCCUUCCCUAGACCCUGUCAUUUUCAUCCUAGCCCAAAUCCCAAUAUUCUUUUUAUUGGGGAUAUUCCUUUUCUAUUAAAGGAAUAACUCAAAUUGCCCCAGGUUGUGAAGCAACCUUUAUUUCUAUCACUCCUAAAAUUCCCAAAUAAUUCUCAUAAAUUGUUUGGGUCAUAUCUUUCUCAAAUAUAGCAAAAUAUUUCAUUUGUCAUGUUUAUCAUCAUGCUCAAAUAAUUCAUUUCCUAUUCUUCCCUAAAUGGCACAUUGUGAAGCAAGUGCUAUUUUACUUUUACCAAUUAACCUCAAACUCCUUGGACACCUUUUCCUGUCCAUAUCAUUGCCACAUGCCAAAGUGCAACCUCAUUUGCCUAGUAAAUAUUCCUGAGCACUUAUUCAAAGUUCCUGUCUGAGGGAACUGGUUGUGAAGGAAGUACAAGCUAGGCAUAUCCAAAUGAGUUUCCAUUUUUCAUGAUCCCUCAUAUCAUCAU
rnacentral:lncRNA from 1 species